GCACGAACCAGGUACAAGUCCCUCUUUAAGAAUUCAAAAAAUCCUCUACAAACACACACUUGGUUCUCUAGAGCCACCUGUCGGCGGGACUUUGACUUGUGCCUCGUCCUUCGUCCCGCUCGCACACCGCGGAGGCGCGCAGAAACCGGAAAGCCUGUCCAGAGAACCAUACACUCUCAGGAAUACCACCCCCACCACCACCGGAGGAGGAGGAGGAGGACUGGGAAAAGGAGAGCCAAGAGGUCACGCUGAUUGACUGGGAAAAUAACUGUUUUGGCAUCAAUCCCUACGGUCCACAGGAUGUGAUCCAUUUUUCCUUGCGGUAUUCACCCUUCCAGCGAAGGCACGAAGUCGUCCCACUAUUGAUGGCUGGUUACAGCCCGGAGGUGCACCACCCGCAGCCCGUCCGUUGGAGGCACUACGGCACCCCCACCGAGCAAGGGCAGUUUGCAGACGCUGACCACUAGGCCAGGCGUGUGCGGCUGUGUGACCGGGUCGGUAGAAAAAGUUCUGGAGUUUUCUUAUUGGUUAGAAUCACUGCAACAGCUUCAGUCCAAUAAUAAUAAUAAUAAUUGCGUUCAGUUGUUUUAUUUAUUUUUUGUUUUAUAUCUAUAUUUUAUAUUUAGGUUAAAUGGUAAGCUAUUCAUUUUUUUAUCUUAAGGAAUGAUUUUAGAUGAUCUGCUAUACUUUGCUGUUGUACCGCAUACAUUUACGGUUCUUUCCAUGUCUUCAUAACUUUGGCUAGAAUUCCAGGAAACUGAAGGAAUACCCUUUUAUUGUCAUGUUUACCCUUUGUUUUAAAAUGCCUCUAGUAGGAACAAUGUUGUCAUAGUUCAUUAUCAAUGUUUGUUCAUCAGAUUUGUGAGUAGAUGAAGAAACGAUUUUGAUUUGGGGUCACCCAACUCGACCACGAAAUUUGGUUUGGAUGCUGUAUCAACAAGUUGUGAUCUGACCUUUCACAGUUGCAAUAAAUCCAAUUUUCUUCACUAAAUCCUGCUGCUUUUCACUUGAUGGGA
ensembl:lncRNA